UACGAAGGGGGCGAGCGUUGUCCGGAAUUAUUGGGCGUAAAGAGCUCGUAGGCGGUGUGUCACGUCGGCCGUGAAAACCUGCAGCUUAACUGUGGGCGUGCGGUCGAUACGGGCAUCACUGGAGUUCGGCAGGGGAGACUGGAAUUCCUGGGUGUAGCGGUGAAAUGCGCAGAUAUCAGGAGGAACACCGGUGGCGAAGGCGGGUCUCUGGGCCGAUGAACUGACGCUGGAGGAGCGAAAGCGUGGGGAGCAAACAGG
rnacentral:rRNA from 1 species